GCCGGGCGUGGUGGCGCAUGCCUGUAAUCCUAGCAGCUCGGGAGGCAGAGGCAGGAGGAUCGUGAGUUCAAAGCCAGCCUCAGCAAAAGCAAAGCACUAGGCAACUCAGUGAGAUCCUGUCUCUA
rnacentral:sRNA from 1 species